rnacentral:tRNA from 1 species
GCAUUGGUAGUUUAGUGGUAGAAUUCUUGCCCUCUAUGCAGGAGACCUGAGUUCAAUUCCCAGCAAAUGCA